rnacentral:RNase_P_RNA from 2 species
UGAGUGGCCUAGGCGGCCGCUCGCGGGCCGGCCAAUUGGCUGGGCCGCGGGAGGAAAGUCCGGGCUCCGCGGGCCAGGGUGGUUGCUAACGGCAACCGGCCGUGAGGCUAGGGAAAGUGCCACAGAAAACAAACCGCCGUCCCCGGACGGUAAGGGUGAAACGGUGCGGUAAGAGCGCACCGCGGUCCUGGUGACAGGGCUGGCAGGGCAAACCCCACCUGGAGAAAGAUCAAAUAGGGAAGGUUUGGCGACGGCCCGCGCCGCAGCCUUCCGGGUAGGUCGUUCGAGGCCGGGUGCGAGCCAGGUCCCAGAGAAAUGGUCGCCGCCCCUUUCGGGGGGAACAGAACCCGGCUUAGGGGGCCGCUCACACG